GCGUGUGGGUUCUAUUACUUUAUGCUAGCAGUGUGAUUAUUACCCUUUUGAUUCCUAUUACCCUAUGCUUUAUCUUUCAGCUAAGUGAACUCGUGACCCUACCAGCACUUUUCAAGAUACUUUCGACGUAUUCAUUGCGGUGAACAACGCGGUUGGGACAGCACACUCACGACGUGGGAAGGUCACAGAAAUGUUGAAAGACAUCAGAUUGGGCAUACGCUUCACCCGUGCAACUUCGUCAUGUGCUCCACGGCAGCACAAGCCUUUACGGCUGUGCCACUAUGUGUGGAAACGUCGUAGCGGAUGAAUGUGAAUUAUGGA